UACGUAGGCAGCGAGCGUUGUUCGGAAUUACUGGGCGUAAAGAGUGUGUAGGCGGUGCUCUAAGUUCGGUGUGAAAUCUCCUGGCUCAACUGGGAGGGUGCGCCGGAAACUGGAGUGCUUGAGCGUGGGAGAGGAAAGCGGAAUUCCUGGUGUAGCGGUGAAAUGCGUAGAUAUCAGGAGGAACACCGAUGGCGAAGGCAGGUCUGCUGGGCCACUACUGACGCUGAGAAGCGGAAAGCAUGGGGAGCGAACAGG
rnacentral:rRNA from 1 species